GGGGAAAAAUUAAUUAAAUAAAAUUAAUAAAAAAAAUUUUUAAGUUAAAAAUAAAUAAUGGGGGUUAAAGUAUUUUUAAUAGAAAAAAUUUUAAAUUUUAUAGGGAAGUAAGUAUUGUAGGGGAAAUUUGAAAUAAAUUAAAUAUUAAUUAUAAAAAAAGAAAAUUUAAUUUAUUGUAUCUUGUGUAUCAGAGUUUAUUAAAUAAUUUUUUUUUAUAAAAAAAUCUCGAAUUUAAAAGAACUAAUUAAUUAUGAAAGUUAAUGUAACAUAAUUAUUUUAAAUAAUUAAUUGGAAAUGAAAUGUUAAUCGUUUUUAAAUAUAUCUAGUUAUUUUAGAAAAAAAUUUAAUUUUAAAUUUAAAUAAUUUUGUAAUUUAAUAAUUAUAAUUACAAAAAUUUAAAUUUAAUAUUUUAAGGGAUAAGCUUUAAAUUAAAAAUUUAUAAUAAAAUUAAAUAUAAAUUAAAAUUUUUAAAAUUUAUAUUGUUUAAAAAUUAUAAUUUAUUAUAAAAAAUUUUAUUAAAAAUAAAAUUUUAUAAAAAAAAAAAUUUAAAUUUUUAUAAAAUAAUAAUUUUUAAUAAAUUAAAAUUAGUAAUAAUGAUAAAAUUAGUAUAAAAUGAUAAAAAAGAAUAAAUUUAAAUUGAAGUUAAUUAAAAGGAAUUCGGCAAAAAAAAUAUUCACUUGUUUAUCAAAAACAUGUCUUUUUGUUUAUAAUUUAAAGUCUAAUCUGCCCACUGAUAAAUAUUAAAGGGCUGCAGUAUAUUGACUGUACAAAGGUAGCAUAAUCAUUAGUUUUUUAAUUGAAAACUUGUAUGAAAGAUUUGAUGAAAUAUAAACUGUCUCUUAAUUAGUAUUAAAAAUUUAUUUUUUAGUUAAAAAGCUAAAAUAAUUUUAAAAGACGAGAAGACCCUAUAGAGUUUUAUAUUUUAUUUAAUAUUAAAGUUUUAUAAAAAUUAAAAUUAAUAUUGAUUAAAAUAUUGUAUUGGGGUGAUAGAAAAAUUAAAGUAACUUUUUUUAAAAAUUAACCAUAAAUAAAUGAAUAAAUGAUCCAUUUAUAGUGAUUACAAGAAAAAAUUACCUUAGGGAUAACAGCGUAAUAUUUUUUUUUAGUCCGAAUAAAAAAAAAAGUUUGCGACCUCGAUGUUGGAUUAAGAUAAAAUUUAAAUGCAAGUGUUUAAAAUUUUGAUCUGUUCGAUCAUUAAAAUCUUACAUGAUCUGAGUUCAAACCGGUGUAAGCCAGGUUGGUUUCUAUCUUUAGAAAAAAAGAAUAUUUUAGUACGAAAGGAUCAAAUAUUUAAAAUAAUUUUAAUAAAAGAAUAUUAUUAAUUAAAUUAUAAAAUUAA
rnacentral:rRNA from 1 species